UGGGGAAUUUUGGACAAUGGGCGCAAGCCUGAUCCAGCCAUGCCGCGUGCGGGAAGAAGGCCUUCGGGCUGUAAACCGCUUUUGUCAGGGAAGAAAUCUUCUGAGUUAAUACCUCGGGAGGAUGACGGUACCUGAAGAAUAAGCACCGGCUAACUACGUGCCAGCAGCCGCGGUAAUACGUAGGGUGCAAGCGUUAAUCGGAAUUACUGGGCGUAAAGCGUGCGCAGGCGGUUUUGUAAGACAGAGGUGAAAUCCCCGGGCUCAACCUGGGAACUGCCUUUGUGACUGCAAGGCUUGAGUGCGGCAGAGGGGGAUGGAAUUCCGCGUGUAGCAGUGAAAUGCGUAGAUAUGCGGAGGAACACCGAUGGCGAAGGCAAUCCCCUGGGCCUGCACUGACGCUCAUGCACGAAAGCGUGGGGAGCAAACAGGA
rnacentral:rRNA from 1 species